UACGGAGGGGGCAAGCGCUAUUCGGAAUUAUUGGGCGUAAAGGGCGCGUAGGCGGCUAGAUGUGUCAAAGGUGAAAUCCCUCGGCUCAACUGAGGAACUGCCUUUGAAACUGUCUGGCUUGAGGCCGGGAGAGGGUAGCGGAAUUCCCAGUGUAGCGGUGAAAUGCGUAGAUAUUGGGAGGAACACCAGUGGCGAAGGCGGCUACCUGGACCGGUUCUGACGCUGAGGCGCGAAAGCGUGGGUAGCAAACAGG
rnacentral:rRNA from 1 species